UACGUAGGGGGCAAGCGUUGUCCGGAAUCAUUAGGCGUAAAGAGCGUGUAGGCGGCUCGAUAAGUCUGCUGUGAAAGUCCAGGGCUCAACCCUGGAAGGCCGGUGGAAACUGUCGGGCUAGAGUCCGGAAGAGGCGAGUGGAAUUCCCGGUGUAGCGGUGAAAUGCGCAGAUAUCGGGAGGAACACCAAUGGCGAAGGCAGCUCGCUGGGACGGUACUGACGCUGAGACGCGAAAGCGUGGGGAGCAAACAGG
rnacentral:rRNA from 1 species